CCUACGGGAGGCAGCAGUGAGGAAUAUUGGUCAAUGGACGCGAGUCUGAACCAGCCAUGUCGCGUGCAGGAAGACGGCUCUACGAGUUGUAAACUGCUUUUGUACGAGAGUAAACGCAGAUACGCGUGUCUUUCUGAAAGUAUUGUACGAAUAAGGAUCGGCUAACUCCGUGCCAGCAGCCGCGGUAAUACGGAGGAUCCGAGCGUUAUCCGGAUUUAUUGGGUUUAAAGGGUGCGUAGGUGGGUGGAUAAGUUAGAUGUGAAAUCUUGAGGCUCAACUUCGGAAUUGCAUCUGAUACUGUGCGGCUAGAGAAUAGUUGCGGUAGGCGGAAUGUGUGGUGUAGCGGUGAAAUGCUUAGAGAUCAUACAGAACACCGAUUGCGAAGGCAGCUUACCAAGCUACCUCUGACGUUGAGGCACGAAAGCGUGGGGAGCAAACAGGAUUAGAUACCCGAGUAGUC
rnacentral:rRNA from 1 species